UAAAUGGCUGUAGUCUCCACAUUACCUCUCUUCUCUUCCUCUUGAUUCCUGGACACUAAAGCAAACACCAGUCCUGUACAAGUUCAGUCCAGAACAGCUAGACCAAAGCCUACAAGUCUGCAGCCACAUCUAUUCUAUGUUUCUACACCUUGAUUGGAGUCACCUGUGGUAAAUUCAUCUGAUUGGACAGGAUUUGGAAAGUCACACCCCUGUCUACAUAAGGUCUCCCAGCUGACAAUGUAUAUCAGAGAAAAAUCCAAGCCAUGAGAUGGAAAGAACUGCCUGUAGAGGUCAGAGGCAAUGAAAGUUUCCAAAAGCAUAGUGGUCUCCAUAAUUCUUAAAGGCAGUUUAAGGGUACGGUCACACAUUACGGAUCCGUAGCGUAUUUUACAUGGGGAUCCACCGAUGACCCGACCCUAUAGUGUGCCUCCAGCCUAACACCCAUGACACCCCCCACCCCGUCCGUACUCAGACAUUG